rnacentral:tRNA from 1 species
GGAAAUGUAGCUCAGUGGCAGAAUGCUUGCCUAACAUGUAUGAGGCCCUGGGUUUGAUCCCGGCAUCACUG